AGAGUUUGAUCAUGGCUCAGGAUGAACGCUAGCUACAGGCUUAACACAUGCAAGUCGAGGGGAAACGACAUCGAAAGCUUGCUUUUGAUGGGCGUCGACCGGCGCACGGGUGAGUAACGCGUAUCCAACCUGCCCACCACUUGGGGAUAACCUUGCGAAAGUAAGACUAAUACCCAAUGACGUCUCUAGAAGACAUCUGAAAAGAGAUUAAAGAUUUAUCGGUGAUGGAUGGGGAUGCGUCUGAUUAGCUUGUGGCGGGUAACGGCCGCAAGGCUACGAUCAGUAGGGUUCUGAGAGGAAGGUCCCCCANAUUGGAACUGAGACACGGUCCAAACUCCUACGGGAGGCA
rnacentral:rRNA from 1 species